rnacentral:rRNA from 1 species
GAUCCGAGCGUUAUCCGGAGUGACUGGGCGUAAAGAGUUGCGUAGGUGGUUUGUUAAGCGAGUAGUGAAAUCUGACGGCUCAACCGUUCAGGCUAUUGCUCGAACUGGCAAACUCGAGAAUGGUAGAGGUAACUGGAAUUUCUAGUGUAGGAGUGGAAUCCGUAGAUAUUAGAAGGAACACCAAUGGCGUAGGCAGGUUACUGGACCAUUUCUGACACUGAGGCACGAAAGCGUGGGGAGCGAACCGGAUUAGAUACCCGGGUAGUCCACGCCGUAAACGAUGGAUACUGGCUGUUAGAGGUAUCGACCCCUCUAGUAGCGAAGCUAACGCGUUAAGUAUCCCGCCUGUGGAGUACGGUCGCAAGACUAAAACAUAAAGGAAUUGACGGGGACCCGCACAAGUAGUGGAUCGUGUUCUUUAAUUCGAUGCUAAACGAUAAACCUUACCAGGGCUUGACAUCCUUGGGAGCUCUGCGAAAGUAGAGUGUGCCUUUUGGAACCAAGUGACAGGUGAUGCAUGGCCGUCGUCAGCUCGUGUCGUGAGAUGUUUGGUUAAGUCCAUCAACGAGCGCAACCCUUGUGAAUAGUUGUAUUUUUCUAUUCAACUGCCCCGGUAACGGGGAGGAAGGAGGGGAUGAUGUCAGGUCAGUAUUUCCCUUACGUCCUGGGCUAGAAACACGAUACAAUGGCUAGUACAAUGCGCAGCG